rnacentral:lncRNA from 1 species
GUACACACUUCUUUUUUUUUUUUAUCUUUUAUUUGUUUUUCAAUAGUCAGGAUUUUACACACCCCAUUACACUACCACCUGACAAUGGUAUCAAGGGGUAAAUACAGAAUAUAUAAGAAAAAAAUAUAGCAAUAUAUACAAAAAGAAUCUCUGACUAAUUAAUUUUUAACAAUAAAAAUAUUUUAGGUUACAUAUAAAUUGUAUUUGAUUUUUCUCUCCUCUCUCUCUCUCUCUGACUUACUCACAUACAACACUAAUACUUUCACUCAUCUGUUUUGCUACAAUAUGUAUCAUGACUUACUUUUUAAUACAAUUUUUUUUAAAGAAAUAAAUUUGCUCAUAAUUUAUAAAUUAUUUCUUUUCUCUAAACUAAACAUAGAUAAUAUGAAAACAACACUUAGUUAAAUAUUACAUGUAAAGGAGACCAAAAUUUUUCACAAAC